CUCCUCAGCAUUUACCAAGAGAGACACAUUCAUCUUGAACUGCUCUGUCUGUUCUGUUGCCUAUGAAGGGAGUUCCCCUGCAAGGACAAAAAAAAACCAACAAACCCCACAGUGCUGUUAUCUUUCCUUCCUGCCGUGCGGUCAGGCUGCUCUGUCACUUUGCUCAUUAUCUGGCCAAACUUCUUCACUUCAGAGUGGAUCUCCAUGCUCCUCAUCCGGAAUCUGGUGCAAGCCUCAGGUCCUUCUCUCUUCAGACUCACCAGCCUUUCCUCGGCUCCUCAUUCCUAGAAGCAACAUUUAUCUGCUAUAAUCUUGUUGUUCUUCCGCAGACGUAAGAGGGAACCACUUCACAGCUUUGGAACUGGAGGCAGAAACAAUACUCUGCUGAAGAACUGACCUCAGUUGCUGCAUUUAUGGAAAGCAGUCUCUGACCCCAGGACUGUCCAGGUGCUUGUGCUAGUAAGCCCUGUCAGAGUGGAGUUCUCUUGGUGUUAGAACACUGCAUGUUGCUGACGGAAUUCCUUCAGCUCUAUCACGAAACACGUUUGGGUGCUGGAGAGAUUGAAAUCUGUUGAAACAAAACGAUUUCCUCAGCUGAUGAUGCACUUGGGCAUUUUCCAUUCUUCCUAAUGAAAAAAAGAGUCUUUGCUCAUGUGACUGAGAAAGCCCAGUGAAAGAUGCCACAAACAUCGAGAACUGACUCCUGGCCCCAGACCACUGGUGGCGAAGUCCUAUAUUUUGACACGAAGCACAGCAUACAGUGAAGAGCUGCCUGAGCUGGUCUUUGGCCUCUUCUAGCUUGCAUUUUCUGGUUCUUUAGUUAUCAGAACACUGGGGAUUGACUACCCCUGGAUGCCUGGAGCUUUUCAAGAGGCGAUUGUUUCCUUGUGGCAUGUCUAUGCUGACAAUCCCUGGAGACUCCGCUUCCUCUUUCAGUUCCCUGGUGCAGGCUCUAUUCCCUACAAGCCCCACUCUAAGCUUAUUGUUUCAUGGAAAACCAGUCUUGCAAGACAAAGGGUUGUGGGUCAACAAUGGCUUUCCCUUGGAGCUAUUUUUAUUUUACUUGGAGAUUCCUGGUAAAAUUACCAGUGCCUUCAUCUAAGUAAAUAAAUAUCUGGUGUAGGGAAUUUGAGGUAUGUGG
rnacentral:lncRNA from 13 species